UCAUUAGAUAAGGAGCAUAAUAGAAGUCACUUAGAAAAAUGGAAAUCCUGCUUUAUUUUUUUCUCGAAAGUUAAAAUAACUAGAGUAGACAUUUCUCUGUGCGCACCUUUAAUCCCAGCGCUCAGGAGACAGAAGCAGGCGAAUUUCUGAGUUUGAGGCCAGCCUGGUCUACAAAGUGAGUUCCAGGACAGCCAGGGCUAUACAGAGAAACCCUGUCUCGAAAAACCAAAAAAAAAAAAAAAAAAAAAAAAAAGUACGCAAACUCUUAAAUGAGAUACAGAAGAAGCUGUUAAUAAAUGCAUACCACAGUCAGUGUUCAUUUCCUGAAGUGAAAGUUAGCUGAUCAUGUGUUGCCCAAUAGGUUAGCUUAUUCCAAGAGACAGUUUCACAGGGAGAAAUUGUCUAUCCCUCCCUCAGGACAGUUUCUGUUUUAGAGGGCAAAGCUUGGACUGUGUGCUUGGAGAAAUCUACUGGGGCUCAUUUCUGUAGCUGUGUAUUGAACCAUCUCUUCAUAAUAAUAAUAACAAUGUGUUUUCAUCCCAUCCCCCUUCACCCACCCCUCAGUCAUGCACUUCCAAGGAGAUCUUAAUGUCUUCAAGUACAGAGAUUCAACCUUGAACUCAGGGCCUCAGACUUUCUCAUCUUCUCCCACCAUAAGACUGGAUGUAAUGCACGGGGCGGACACUGGGUAGAACCCUGUCUCCUUCCUGGUUUCAGUGGCCUCUCAUACAAAAUUAAGUGGCCUCAGAUACAUUUGGUGGGGGAAAAAGGUAGAUGAUUAAAAUACUUUAAGAAUUCAGCAAUGCCUAUGCUGGGUACCAUCCCAGCUGGAACAAAACACCUGGCACCAGGCCUCAUGGCCACAGCUCACACACCUAGUAGCUGUGAUCUGCAUGGUCACCUCCUAUACCUACCUGAUACCUUGGAAAGAGGAUGUAAGUAGUUUCCCUCUUCAUAGAUGUGAACUCUUUCAGCAGAGCCUUUUUCUGCAAUGCUGCCAUUGUCUUGGUAUCUGAGAUCACCGGGAUGUAGGCACAUUGUAGGUCAGUUUCCUGAUGAACACUGUUUAGUAGAGAACUGACCAAAGUUUGGCUAUUUUUGACAUAUCCCCUACCCUUUUAAAAAACUGAUUUUUUUUUUUUAAACUUCCCAGUAAAAGAGUACAGUGUUCAAUCUGUAGUUACUGUCCUUGGUUAAUUGUCCCCAGAGCCACAAUUGCCUCAGCAGCACUACAGGGACCUAAGGCCUACAUGGUCACCUGCAUUCGCAUCUGGCAUGACAUGUCUGAUACUUUCAUAGCUGGGUUGUGUCCUCAUUCACAUAACAAAGGCAUGUUAUAUAUUUCUUAAAAGUCACUUUGUCAAAAUGACACUUUUAAGAGCUUCAGGCUGAAUGAGUAUGACUUACACAAUUUUGACUUUAAAAGUUGCCAACCUGUUACAUACAAGGUGCAUGGCCCUCCCUCCUCUCCCAAAGAGGGUGACUGCUUAAGAAACAGCCAUCUUCUAACGCCACGUGACCCUACCCUAUUAACAUUAAGAGGCAUUUCGGGUGCUACUGAAUGGCAGCUUUUAAUGUCUCCUUACAGACACACAGAAGAAUGUGCCGUGGGUUCAAUGACUACGCCAUGGUGAUGAAGUGACUUUUUGCCAGUUUCUCUUUUAAAAAAAAAAUCACUAAAGGUCAAUGGUGGUUUGCGUUUGCACUUGAUCUGUGAGAACAGAACAUUAAGCAUAUUCAUAUAAAACUUCCAUGGUUGAAAACUGAAAAGCAGAAGUAACCUUACUAAGUGACAC
rnacentral:lncRNA from 1 species